AUUGAACGCUGGCGGCAUGCCUUACACAUGCAAGUCGAACGGUAACGCGGGGCAACCUGGCGACGAGUGGCGAACGGGUGAGUAAUGCAUCGGAACGUGCCCAGUAGUGGGGGAUAGCCCGGCGAAAGCCGGAUUAAUACCGCAUACGACCUACGGGUGAAAGCGGGGGACCGUAAGGCCUCGCGCUAUUGGAGCGGCCGAUGUCAGAUUAGGUUGUUGGUGGGGUAAAAGCAUACCAAGCCGACGAUCUGUAGCUGGUCUGAGAGGACGACCAGCCACACUGGGACUGAGGCACGGACCAGAAUCCUACGGGAGGCAGCAGUGGGGAAUUUUGGAGAAUGGGGGCAACCCUGAUCCAGCCAUGCCGCGUGCGGGAAGAAGGCCUUCGGGUUGUAAACCGCUUUUGUCAGGGAAGAAACGCUCUGGGCUAAUACCCCGGGGUAAUGACGGUACCUGAAGAAUAAGCACCGGCUAACUACGUGCCAGCAGCCGCGGUAACAC
rnacentral:rRNA from 1 species